rnacentral:rRNA from 1 species
GGGCUCACACAAGCGGUGGAGGAUGUGGCUUAAUUCGAGGCUACGCGAAGAACCUUAUCCUGGUCUUGACAUGCUUGGGAAUACCCUGGAAACAGGGUAGUGCCUUUCGGGGAACCCUUGCACAGGUGCUGCAUGGCUGUCGUCAGCUCGUGUCGUGAGAUGUCGGGUUAAGUCCCUUAACGAGCGAAACCCUUGUGUCUAGUUGCCAGCGGGUAAUGCCGGGGACUCUAGACAGACUGCCGGUGUUAAACCGGAGGAAGGUGGGGAUGACGUCAAGUCCUCAUGGCCUUAUGAUCAGGGCUGCACACGUCCUACAAUCCGUCGAACAAGGAAGCGAACUCGCGAGAGCGAGCAAAUCCCAAAAAGCGGCGGUCAGUUCGGAUUGCAGGCUGCAACUCGCCUGCAUGAAGCCGGAAUCGCUAGUAA